GACGUAGGGCGCGAGCGCUGUCCGGAUUUAUUGGGCGUAAAGAGCUCGUAGGCGGCUUGUUGCGUCGACCGUGAAAACCCGGGGCUCAACUUCGGGCUUGCGGUCGAUACGGGCGGGCUAGAGUUCGGUAGGGGAGACUGGAAUUCCUGGUGUAGCGGUGGAAUGCGGCAGAUAUCAGGAGGAACACCGAUGGCGAAGGCAGGUCACUGGGCCGCAACUGACGCUGAGGAGCGAAAGCAUGGGG
rnacentral:rRNA from 1 species